rnacentral:rRNA from 1 species
GAGUUUGAUCCUGGCUCAGAAUCAACGCUGGCGGCGCGCCUAACACAUGCAAGUCGAGCGAGAAAGGGGCAACCUGAGUAAAGCGGCGUACGGGUGAGUAACACGUGGAUCAUCUACCCUCUUGUGGGGAAUAACUUUGGGAAACCGAAGCUAAUACCGCAUAAGUCCGAGAGGAGAAAGCAGUAAUGCGCAGGAGGAGGAGUCCGCGGCCGAUUAGCUAGUUGGUGAGGUAAUGGCUCACCAAGGCAACGAUCGGUAGCCGGCCUGAGAGGGCACACGGCCACACUGGCACUGAGACACGGGCCAGACUCCUACGGGAGGCAGCAGUGGGGAAUCUUGCACAAUGGGGGAAACCCUGAUGCAGCGACGCCGCGUGAGCGAUGAAGCCCUUCGGGGUGUAAAGCUCUUUCGACGGGAACGAUUAUGACGGUACCCGGAGAAGAAGCUGCGGCUAACUACGUGCCAGCAGCCGCGGUAAUACGUAGGCAGCAAGCGUUGUUCGGAGUUACUGGGCGUAAAGAGUACGUAGGCGGUUUGCUAAGUCUGGUGUGAAAUCUCCUGGCUUAACUGGGAGGGUGCGCUAGAUACUGGCAGGCUUGAGUAUGGGAGAGGAGAGUGGAAUUCCUGGUGUAGCGGUGAAAUGCGUAGAUAUCAGGAGGAACGCCGGUGGUGUAGACGGCUCUCUGGACCAUUACUGACGCUGAGGUACGAAAGCGUGGGUAGCAAACAGGAUUAGAUACCCUGGUAGUCCACGCCCUAAACGAUGCGGACUUGGUGUAGGCAGUUCAGUCUGUCUGUGC